rnacentral:rRNA from 1 species
GACGAACGCUGGCGGUAUGCUUAACACAUGCAAGUCGAACGAGAAGUCUUUUAUUGAACCUUCGGGGGAUAUAAGAGACAGACAGUGGCGAACGGGUGAGUAACGCGUGGGCAACCUACCUAUCGGAGCGGGAUAGCCUCGAGAAAUCGGGAGUAAAACCGCAUAACACGGAUAUAUCGCAUGAUGAAUCCGUCAAAACUCCGGUGCCGAUAGAUGGGCCCGCGUCUGAUUAGCUAGUUGGUAAGGUAAGGGCUUACCAAGGCAACGAUCAGUAGCCGGUCUGAGAGGGCGAACGGCCACACUGGAACUGAGACACGGUCCAGACUCCUACGGGAGGCAGCAGUGGGGAAUAUUGCGCAAUGGGGGCAACCCUGACGCAGCAAUACCGCGUGAGUGAAGAAGGUUUUCGGAUCGUAAAGCUCUGUUAUUGGGGAAGAAGCAGUGACGUACCCAUGA